rnacentral:rRNA from 1 species
GGAUGACGUCAAGUCAUCAUGGCCCUUACGCCUAGGGCUACACACGUACUACAAUGGUGCAUACAAAGGGCAGCGAGACCGCGAGGUUCAGCCAAUCCCAAAAAAUGCAUCCCAGUCCGGAUCGGAGUCUGCAACUCGACUCCGUGAAGUUGGAAUCGCUAGUAAUCCCGGAUCAGCAUGCCGGGGUGAAUACGUUCCCGGGCCUUGUACACACCGCCCGUGGGGCGG